rnacentral:lncRNA from 1 species
GUGCAAUGAUGGAAUGAUGGAAUGAUGGAAUGAUGGACAAGGGUUAAACUACAUGGUCCCAAUGUUUCUCAAUAGUACAUGUAUCGAUUCAUUUAUGAUUAUAACAUGAACAGUAUUGUAGAGGAACACUUGCAAUCCGUUUUUAGUCUGAAAAUCAUGGUCCAAAACAUUAUGUGAAAAUAAUGGUUUUUCAGACUAAGUUACAAGUCAAUGAACUCAGAUAUCAU